rnacentral:lncRNA from 1 species
AUAAUUGGGGAAGUAAAACAGUGUUAAGACAAAAACUGGACUUAUGUUAAAGAUAAUUCCCUGUAACAUCAGAGAAUGUUAGAUCUGGAAGGGCCUUUAGAGAGCAAAGGAUUCACCACCCUCAUAUUACAGAUGGAAACUGAGGCCCAAAGAGAUUACUGAGGAAUAUUUUUGUCCUUUACAUUGUGGUACUGUCUCUUCAAUGUCAUUCAGAAACAAGGAAAGAGACAGAACAGAAGCCUAUUAGACAGAAGUAAGUUCUCAUCCCCUGCAACAAGCAAUUCUUUCCCACUCACCAGUGCCCUUUUCCUUCAGAGCAUUUUGGGAAGAGUAAUCACCAGUACAGAUGGAAUGAGGUUUCAUAAAGGGAGACCAGCAGGAGUAGGGGAUGCCUGAUAUCUUUAUUCCUGCAUGAAGGAGCAAACACUUUGUCCUCAUAGAGGAUGCUCUUCAAUGCUUGAGCAAUAACAUCAUUCCAGGAAGGCAGAACUAAACCCUGAGAAGAAAACUGGAAAAGGCAAAUUUGUGGCAGUUGUUCCUGCAAGCCCUCUUGCGUGGUGAAAUUAUCAACAGGGAGUCUUCAAUGGUGAGACCUGGGCUGGAAACUCAGGAGCCUAUAGGGCUAGCAAGUCCAUAAAAUAAGGAAAGGGAAGGUGCUUGUCUUAUCAUCACAUCCAGUGAUUUUAGCAGUAUUGGCUUUUUUUUUUUUUUUUUCCAAGAGAAGCUAGACACCAGAUUUUUUUUAAAAUUAGAACUAAUUACAUUUUUUAAAAAUACAGCAUAAGGCAAAAAACAAAAAUGAAAUUCUAUAUCUUAGGUCAGAUUCGGUUGCUGGCUUGCAUUGGAAACUCUGUUUCAGAGUUUAGCUGAACCAACUAGUCAAGACAGACAAUGAGCUGAGGCUCAGUGGCUAAGUCUUCAGUGGCUAAGGUAGGACAAAAGAGCAAGUAUGGGAGCUCAUUUGGAGCCUCUGUAGGCAGUCGAUUUUUUUUAGAAGAUCCAACUCUUAUUGCCCUCAAGGAAGAAAAUAUACUAUUUGCGCUGGAGACAGUAUUGUGGUAUUGAAAGAGCCCUGGCUUAGGAGACCGGAGUUCUAGUCUUGAUGCCUCCAGUUUUCGGUUUAACGACCUUCCCAUUUCCAUCUCUCUGAUCUGCAAAGUGAGGGCCCUCAUUCUGCCUUAAUUACAUCACAGGUUUACUGGUGAUCAAAUCAGAUAACGCUGUGAAAGUACUUUGUAAUCUGUAACAUGUUAUACAAGCAAGAUGGUGUCUUAAAAAUCUGUGAAUCAACUUUUAUAAGAGAAAAUGGCGAUAUAAUAGAAAAAAAGCAUAGAUUUAGAGUCUGAUAGAGUGUGAGCUCAAAUUCUGAAAUCCCCACCACCUAUACUGCCUAAGCAGUGCUUCUCUGUUUUGAGGCUCAGUUUCCUCAUCAAUAAAAUGGGAUAAUAGUGUUUCUCUAUAUAACACUGUUGUACGGAUUAAAUGAAACUAAAUCUGUAAAUAAUGCAUGUGGGUAUAUCAGUGGGUGCUUGAUAAACAUCAUUUCCUUUCUAAGUUUGUAAUUAGAAUUCAUUGACUCAGAAGGGCAUAACAUCACAAAAGAGAAUUAGUAUUUAGUAACUUUCCCUGUUCUGAAAGGAUAUGAUAUUGAACAAAGAGAGAACAACAACAACAAAAAAGAGAUUAAGUAGAUGUAAAAACUCUAAGAAGGAAAUGAAAGGUGGUAGAAGUCUGUUGUGGGGAGGUAGUUAGGGAGAGCUUUAGCCAGGAGGUGACAUUUGAUUUGAUCUCUUGAGCAUGAGAAGACACUCAGGAGGCUUACAAUGGGUGAUGGCUAUGAAUCUUCUAAGUAGAGGGAUAGCAAGGGCAGGAUCCUGAAAAAGAGACAGAGCAGGCUACAGCCAGGAGAUCAAAGGGUGGGACACCUGAGGUACUUAAAGCAGAGAUCCUAGGGUCAUGGAAGAGAGUAGGGACAACCAGAAAGAUAGCCAUGCCUAAUUUGCACUUCUUAGGAUUUUGCAUUAUUCUGUAGACUGUGGGAUGCCCCCCCCCAAAGAUUUGACACAGAGAAGAAACAAGAGCAGAUGCACUUUGUAGGAAGAACUUUCUGGUUGUAGGAUGGAGGAUUGGAUGGAAGAGGAGUAUACUAGAGGCAGAGACCCAUUAGGAAGCUAUUGAACUAGGACAGGAAGAGUGGGGAGGGGUGGAGUCAGGGAAGACCAGAUAAACAUCUCAAAGACUAAUGCUGAAUUUGAAUUACACCUCUGUAAUACAGAGAAAUUUUGUUAUAUUAUUUCUGGGUGAAAUAUUUCCUUUUCCCAGCUGGACCACUUUUAAAGCCAUUAUUAUUCUGGUCAAUGAAGGAGAAUGUAGGAGGCUUUAAUCGGUUUCCUGAAUAGACCAAUUUUUAUUAUUAAGAUGGUUGACACAGGAGACCAGUGGUAAUAUAUCAAUCCUACUAACUUCUGUCUAUAUCUCUCCUUCUGGAAGCCUCUUUUGAAAUAAUAGUAUGUGACUUCAGUAUGUCUCAUCAUUCUAAAAUAAAGUCGAAAUGAUUUUAUUUUACUAUGAAACUUAAAGCAAGCAGACAUCAUUAGUAAUACCAAAAGGGGUUGUAUUAAAGUUUAAUAUUAAAAUGUUAACAUCUGUUAUGUGCUCAGGCUUUAUUGAACUUUCCAAACUUUUAGAUGAAGACAUAUUAAAGUGAAAGUACCCGGAGUGAAUAAAAUAACCUUGUCUCCUUGGCAGUUCAGGAAAAGAAUGAGAGAUAAAUUUUAAUCUUCAGGGAGAGAUAAAAUGAAAAAAAUUAAAGAUAUUUUCUGCACUGAAUAUACGAAGAGCUUAUUUUAGGUUUGGUCUGUGUCAUGUAAAUUAAUUUUGUUUUAGAGGAAGUGACUUUUCCUACCUAGUUCUUAGGUUCUAUUUCCCAAACUGAAGCAGAGUCCAAUACAAAACAGAUGGCCACUGGAAUGGGGCAAUUCAGGAGAAUUUAAUGAGGGGAUUAUUACAAAGGUUUGGAUUGGAAAGCCAACAAGAGAUGGUGAAGCAACCUUUCUUCUAGUAGCAGCAUGGGGCCAGGAGCCGUUACCACUCUUAAGUCCAAAGGGGCAGGAAAUGGGGUGGUUACUGGAAGCUGGAGUAAGUUGGAACUCUGCAGGAGAGGGUCAGAGUCUUUGGUAGAGAAGCAUAGCUACUGCCAGCCAGUGAUCUGAUGGAAUGGGACUGGGAGAAUGAAUAUCCCAACCUCUUUCUUCUCUCUCCCACCCUACCUUUCAGAGUCUCCUGUGGGUACCUCCAAUCGGCCAAAUCCAAAUGGAAACUACUGUGAGGGGAGCCUGGAGAUGUGGUUCAUGAAAACCAGCUUCCCUGUGGUAGAGAGUGAGAGUGAUACUGGAGGUGAUAGGGAUGGAGUAGACACAGGUACUUUUAGAAGUCCCAAUAAAGGAUCACAGAUAAUGAGGGAAGUUUAGGAGAUAUUGGGAGAUCACUGUAAGCAAAUCAAUUGCUCAAAAAAGCCGUCAGAACAAGACAGGCUUGCUUGACUAGUGAAAGUACGAGAAUUGCCUUAGGUCAUUGGGUGGGGGAUGGGAUUAGGCCUGCUUUCAGAUUCAGACCAAGGGCAAGAGUUUGAGGACCCCCUUCUGCUGAUUUGAAUACUGGAUAUCAAGGAGGAGCUGCUACUCCCAGAAAGAAGAGGCCAGGCUUUUCACAACCCCCACUCCCCUUGGAGGAUAACACUGUAGCCCACCCCAUCCUCAGGGCAGAGCUUCUGUGCUAGCCUCUUGCAUCUCUCACAAGCAUCCUAUCUUAAUAAAUCUAUUUCUUACCUAUCACUUUGUCUCUCGCCAAAUUCCUUCUGCGCGGAGACAUGAAGAACCUGAACCUCAGUGAGUCCAGACACGGGGUGAGUGAUUCUAAUUUAAAACCGGGGGUUUACGUCCCAAUCUGGGUUUAGGCCAGGUUCAAGUCCCAGCACGUGGGUUCAAGUCUCCAUCUGUGUUCUGGCUAGGUUCAGGCCGUUUGUGCUGUCAGUUUCAGAGGCACAAAGGUAGAAUACUCAGUGUAUGGGAUUUGUGUGUGGUGAGUUGAGAAGAUACUAGGUGUAGUAAAGAGCUUGAGUCUGGAGUUAGCCUGUAUUUCUCACUUUUGCCAUGCAUUACUUUAGUAGCCAUGGGAAGUUUUCUCAUCUAUG